CUAAACUGGUUCAUGGAUUGCAGAAUAAAACUUACUAGGAAAGGUUAAAGAAUCUUAACAUGUAUAGCUUGGAGGAAAGACGAGACAAGGGGGAUAUGAUAGAAACAUUUAAAUACAUAAAGGGAAUCAACACAGUAAAGGAGGAGACUAUAUUUAAAAGAAGAAAAACUACCACAACAAGAGGACAUAGUCUUAAAUUAGAGGGGCAAAGGUUUAAAAAUAAUUUCAGGAAGUAUUACAUUACUGAGAGGGUAGUGGAUGCAUGGAAUAGCCUUCCAGCUAAAGUGGUAGAGGUUAACACAGUAAAGGAGUUUAAG